ensembl:lncRNA
UGUCUUAGUCCGCCUUAUUGUCCGCCUCCGUGGCUUUCUCACCAUGGCCACCCCUCUCACUGACCCCACUGGACAGAGGGGCAGAAGCUCUGGACAGAGGGGCAGAAGCUCUGGACAGAGGGGCAGAAGCUCUGGACAGAGGGGCAGAAGCUCUGGACAGAGGGGCAGAAGCUCUGGACAGAGGGGCAGAAGCUCUGGACAGAGGGGCUCUGGCGCCUCUGGGCUGACGGGCUCUGGCGCCUCAGACUCCGGCAGCGGCGCCGGACAGGCGGGAGACUCCGGCAUCAGCGCCGGACAGGCGGGAGGCUCCGGACAGGCGGGAGGCUCCGGCAGCAGCGCCGGACAGGCGGGAGGCUCCAGACAGGCGGGAGGCUCCGGCAGCGGCAGCGGCGCCGGACAGGCGGGAGACUCCGGCAGCAGCGCCGGACAGGCGGGAGACUCCGGCAGCGGCGCCGGACAGACAGGACCACCUGCAGGGAGGAGACAGAGAGACAGCCUGGUGCGUGGGGCUGCCACAGGAACCACCAGAGCUCCAGUGCUCCCCCACAGCCCGGUCCUUCAGGUGCCUCCUCCUAACACCAAGCCUCCUGAAGGUCUCCCC